rnacentral:misc_RNA from 1 species
GUGAGUCAUCGAAUCUUUGAACGCACAUUGCGCCCCUUGGUAUUCCGAGGGGCAUGCCCGUUCGAGCGUCAUUAUAACCCCUCAAGCCUAGCUUGGUGUUGGGGCCUGCUGUUACCGGCAGCUCUUAAAAUCAGUGGCGGUGCCAUCUGGCUCUAAGCGUAGUAAUACUCCUCGCUACAGGGUCCAGGUGGAUGCCUGCCAUCAACCCCUAAUUUUCUAUGGUUGACCUCGGAUCGGGUAGGGAUACCCGCUGAACUUAAGCAUAUCAAUAAGCGGAGGA